rnacentral:rRNA from 1 species
UACGUAGGGGGCAAGCGUUGUCCGGAAUCAUUGGGCGUAAAGCGCGUGUAGGCGGCUCGAUAAGUCCGUUCUGAAAGUCCAGGGCUCAACCCUGGGAUGCGGAUGGAUACUGUCGGGCUAGAGUCCGGAAGAGGCGAGUGGAAUUCCCGGUGUAGUGGUGGAAUGCGUAGAUAUCAGGAGGAGCACCAGUGGCGAAGGCGGUUGCCUGGAGCUUUGCUGACGCUGAGGCGCGAAAGCGUGGGGAGCGAUCCGG